rnacentral:rRNA from 1 species
CAAUAGCGUAUAUUAAAGUUGUUGCAGUUAAAAAGCUCGUAGUUGGAUUUCUGUGAGAGUGCCGGUGUCAGCUGAUGCUUGUACGCAGGCGCUCUUACAUCCUUCUGUUAACUGUUCUUGGCAUUUUAUUGCUGGUUCAGGGCUCAGAUAUUUUACCUUGAGAAAAUUAGAGUGUUUCAGGCAGGCUUAUGCCGGAAUACAUUAGCAUGGAAUAAUGGAACAGGACCUGUGCGUCUCUCGGGGCGCCGGUCUCCGUUGUUGGUUUCGGGGACUAAUGUAAUGAUUAAUAGGGAUAGUUGGGGGCAUUAGUAUUUAAUAGUCAGAGGUGAAAUUCUCGGAUUUGUUAAAGACUAACUUAUGCGAAAGCAUUUGCCAAGGAUGUUUUCAUUAA